UCCCUGGAGGACUGGUGGUCGGGCCUCGUCACUCUCACCGCAGCAACCAGGGUUCGAUUCCCAGCCAGGGAA